UACAGAGGAGCCAAGCGUUGUCCGGAUUGACUGGGCGUAAAGCGCACGCAGGCGGACGCGCGCGUGGGGUGUGAAAUCUGGCCGCUUAACGGCCAGGCGCCAUCCCAUACGGCGUGUCUGGAGUGAUGCAGAGGUCGAUGGAAUUGCCGGUGUAGUGGUGAAAUGCGUAGAGAUCGGCAGGAACACCCAGGGGGAAACCAGUCGACUGGGCUCUACUGACGCUGAGGUGCGAGAGCGUGGGGAGCGAACCGGG
rnacentral:rRNA from 1 species